rnacentral:rRNA from 1 species
CCUACGGGUGGCAGCAGUAGGGAAUCUUCCACAAUGGACGAAAGUCUGAUGGAGCAACGCCGCGUGAGUGAAGAAGGGUUUCGGCUCGUAAAGCUCUGUUUGUAGUGAAGUAAGAUAGAGGUAGUAACUGUCCUUUAUUUGACGGUAAUUAUUUAGAAAGUCACGGUUAACUCCGUGCCAGCAGCUGCGGUAAUACGUAGGUGGCAUGCGUUGUCCGGAUUUAUUGGGCGUAAAGCGAGUGCAGGCGGUUCAAUAAGUCUGAUGUGAAAGCCUUCGGCUCAACCGGAGAAUUGCAUCAAAAACUGGUGAACUUGAGUGCAGUAGAGGAGGGUGGAACGCGAGGUGUAGCGGUGGAAUGCGUAGAUAUAUGGAAGAACACCAGUGGCGAAGGCAGCUCUCUGGUCUGCAACUGACGCUGAGGCUCGAAAGCAUGGGUAGCGAACAGGAUUAGAUACCCUAGUAGUC